rnacentral:rRNA from 1 species
AGAGUUUGAUCCUGGCUCAGAUUGAACGCUGGCGGCAGGCCUAACACAUGCAAGUCGAGCGGAUGAAGGGAGCUUGCUCCCUGAUUUAGCGGCGGACGGGUGAGUAAUGCCUAGGAAUCUGCCUGGUAGUGGGGGAUAACGUUCCGAAAGGAACGCUAAUACCGCAUACGUCCUACGGGAGAAAGCAGGGGACCUUCGGGCCUUGCGCUAUCAGAUGAGCCUAGGUCGGAUUAGCUAGUUGGUGAGGUAAUGGCUCACCAAGGCGACGAUCCGUAACUGGUCUGAGAGGAUGAUCAGUCACACUGGAACUGAGACACGGUCCAGACUCCUACGGGAGGCAGCAGUGGGGAAUAUUGGACAAUGGGCGAAAGCCUGAUCCAGCCAUGCCGCGUGUGUGAAGAAGGUCUUCGGAUUGUAAAGCACUUUAAGUUGGGAGGAAGGGCAUUAACCUAAUACGUUAGUGUUUUGACGUUACCGACAGAAUAAGCACCGGCUAACUUCGUGCCAGCAGCCGCGGUAAUACGAAGGGUGCAAGCGUUAAUCGGAAUUACUGGGCGUAAAGCGCGCGUAGGUGGUUCGUUAAGUUGGAUGUGAAAGCCCCGGGCUCAACCUGGGAACUGCAUCCAAAACUGGCGAGCUAGAGUACGGUAGAGGGUGGUGGAAUUUCCUGUGUAGCGGUGAAAUGCGUAGAUAUAGGAAGGAACACCAGUGGCGAAGGCGACCACCUGGACUGAUACUGACACUGAGGUGCGAAAGCGUGGGGAGCAAACAGGAUUAGAUACCCUGGUAGUCCAA